GAUGAACGCUGGCGGCGUGCCUAAUACAUGCAAGUCGAACGAACGGACGAUAAGCUUGCUUCUCUGAUGUUAGCGGCGGACGUGAGUGUAACACGUGUAUAACCUACCUAUAAGACUGGUAUAACUUCGGGAAACCGGAGCUAAUAGCGUAUAAGAUCUUGAACCGCAUGGGUCAAUAGUGAAAGACGGUCGUGCGGUCACUUAUAGAUGGAUCUGCGCUUCAUUAGCUAGUUGGUAAGGUAACGGCUUACCAAGGCGACGAUGCAUAGCCGACGGGAGGGGGUGAUCGCCCACAUGGGAAGUGGACCGCCGUCCAGGGUCCUGAGAGAGGGCGCAGUCGGGUACCGUCCGCAGUGGGGGGGAACCUGGCGGAGCAAGGGCGAGCGAGUGACGGAGACGCUCGGAUCGUAAAGCUCUGUUAUUAGGGAUGAACCUAUUUGUACGUAAAUGUGGACAGCGUGACGGUACCUAAUCAGAAAGCAACGGCUAACUACGUG
rnacentral:rRNA from 1 species